CUUCUGUUAGAAUUUGUGUAUACAAGAACCUCUUUUCAUGGAAAUUGAACGUAAUUGAAGCAAUUCCAUUCUUGGAAAAUAUACAUAGGCGAUGAAGUGUAUUGUUAGCAACUACAUCUUCCAGUUGGGAUCGUGAAGCAAUAAAUACAACUAACGACAUAAAGUUUAUGUCAACGUUGGGAAUGUGAUUCUAAUGUCGGCUUCCUCCGGAUGAUAGAAAAUUUGCGAAUUCUUCGAAGUGAAGUAAGGUGGAAGAAGAAUAGUUCUUGGCAUAUAAAGUCAAGAUGGUGGUCAAGCUGCGGAAGAAGAGCACUGCGAAGCUUACACCAACCAGGUCCUGAUAGACAGAGCGGGGGACCUCUUCAGUAGGACUAUCAGUUUCAGCGGGUCGUCAGCAAGUGUCAUUGUAUCGGGCUUGCUCUUUUGGUAUAUGCUAUGUUCACAUGUUAUGUAUUUUUAUCUUUUGGGUACGGCGGAGCCCUGUCCCAUCCAGUAUGUCAUGUAUAUGCACUUCUAGAGGCUCAUAGACAGUGUUAUGUAUGUAGGUGUCAUGUACGGCCUCGUCGACCAUAGUUUGAUUAUGACACUCUUAUGGCAGCCUCGCCGGCUGGCGAAUAUAUAUAUGUCUUCACUUG